rnacentral:rRNA from 1 species
UACGUAGGGGGCUAGCGUUGUCCGGAAUCAUUGGGCGUAAAGAGCGCGUAGGCGGCCAGAUAAGUCCGGUGUGAAAGUCAAAGGCUCAACCUUUGAAUGCCGCUGGAAACUGUCUGGCUAGAGUCCGGGAGGGGCGAGUGGAAUUCCUGGUGUAGCGGUGAAAUGCGCAGAUAUCAGGAGGAACACCGGUGGCGAAGGCGGCAUCCUGGACCGGUAUUGACGCUGAGGCGCGAAAGCGUGGGGAGCAAACAGG